rnacentral:rRNA from 1 species
CACUAUCAUCCUACGGGAGGCAGCAGUGGGGAAUAUUGCACAAUGGGCGCAAGCCUGAUGCAGCCAUGCCGCGUGUAUGAAGAAGGCCUUCGGGUUGUAAAGUAUUUCAGCAGUGAGGAAGGCAGGUACGUUAAUAGCGUGCUUGUUUGACGUUAGCUGCAGAAGAAGCACCGGCUAACUCCGUGCCAGCAGCCGCGGUAAUACGGAGGGUGCGAGCGUUAAUCGGAAUUACUGGGCGUAAAGCGCAUGCAGGUGGUUUGUUAAGUCAGAUGUGAAAGCCCGGGGCUCAACCUCGGAAUUGCAUUUGAAACUGGCAGACUAGAGUACUGUAGAGGGGGUAGAAUUUCAGGUGUAGCGGUGAAAUGCGUAGAGAUCUGAAGGAAUACCGGUGGCGAAGGCGGCCCCCUGGACAGAUACUGACACUCAGAUGCGAAAGCGUGGGGAGCAAACAGGAUUAGAUACCCUGGUAG